GCCGGGGUGGCGGAACUGGUAGACGCGCCGGAUUCAAAAUCCGGUUCCUUCACGGGAGUACCGGUUCGAUUCCGGUCCUCGGUACCA
rnacentral:tRNA from 2 species